AUACGGAGGGUGCAAGCGUUGUCCGGAUUUAUUGGGUUUAAAGGGUGCGUAGGUGGUUUUUUAAGUCAGUGGUGAAAGCCUACAGCUUAACUGUAGAGGUGCCAUUGAAACUGGAAAACUUGAGUAUGGACGAGGUAGGCGGAAUUUGUGGUGUAGCGGUGAAAUGCAUAGAUACCACAAAGAACACCGAUAGCGAAGGCAGCUUACUAGGCCAUAACUGACACUGAGGCACGAAAGUGUGGGGAGCGAACAGGAUUAGAUACCCUAGUAGUCC
rnacentral:rRNA from 1 species